CAUGUCGGUCCCGAGGCGGACUGUCCCCUCGCUGUGGGGCACUCGGAGUCUCGCCUGACGCCAUGUUCCUUUGGGCCGCUGCCGCCCGGGGCCUCUAGCUGCUGCCGCCCCUGCGUGUCCCCGCAGCCUGUAGAGCCGCAGUCGCCGGCCGGGAGCAGAGCCCGGCCAUGUCCGUCAAGGAGGGGAGCAAGGAGCCGCCGCUGCCUCUCGGCACCAGCGACCGGGCCGUUAAGGCUGUCCCUUUUCCACCAACACAUCACUUGACAUCUGAAGAAGUGUUUGAUAUAGAUGGAAAACCUAGGGUUGACAUUUUGAAGAACCACUUAGUAAAAGAAGGUCGGGUAGAUGAAGAAAUUGCACUUAGAAUCAUCAAUGAGGGUGCUGCAAUUCUACGAAGAGAGAAAACUAUGAUAGAAGUUGAAGCCCCAAUUACAGUGUGUGGUGAUAUUCAUGGCCAGUUCUUCGAUCUAAUGAAGCUGUUUGAAGUUGGAGGAUCACCAGCUAAUACAAGAUACCUCUUCCUUGGUGACUAUGUAGACAGAGGUUAUUUUAGUAUAGAGUGUGUGCUGUACUUAUGGGUCUUGAAGAUUCUGUAUCCAAAUACAUUAUUUCUUUUGAGAGGCAACCAUGAAUGUAGACACCUCACAGAAUAUUUUACCUUUAAGCAAGAAUGUAAAAUAAAGUAUUCAGAAAGAGUCUAUGAUGCUUGUAUGGAAGCUUUUGAUUGCCUCCCUCUUGCUGCACUUUUAAACCAACAGUUUCUUUGUGUUCAUGGUGGACUUUCACCAGAAAUAAACACACUAGAUGACAUUAAGAGACUAGAUAGAUUCAAAGAGCCUCCUGCAUUUGGACCAAUGUGUGACUUAUUGUGGUCAGAUCCCUCAGAAGAUUUUGGAAAUGAAAAAUCACAAGAACACUUCAGUCAUAAUACAGUCAGGGGAUGCUCAUAUUUUUAUAGCUAUCCAGCAGUUUGUGAAUUUUUGCAAAAUAAUAAUUUGUUGUCGAUAAUUAGAGCUCAUGAAGCACAAGAUGCAGGCUAUAGAAUGUACAGAAAAAGCCAAACUACAGGUUUCCCAUCAUUAAUAACAAUUUUUUCGGCACCUAAUUACUUGGAUGUCUACAAUAAUAAAGCUGCUGUGUUAAAAUAUGAAAAUAAUGUGAUGAAUAUUCGACAGUUCAAUUGUUCUCCGCAUCCUUAUUGGUUACCAAAUUUUAUGGAUGUCUUUACGUGGUCAUUGCCAUUUGUUGGAGAAAAAGUAACAGAAAUGUUGGUGAAUGUUCUGAGCAUUUGCUCUGAUGAUGAAUUAAUGACAGAGGGAGAAGAUCAAUUUGACGUAGGUACAGCUGCAGCACGAAAAGAAAUAAUCAGAAACAAAAUACGUGCAAUUGGCAAGAUGGCAAGAGUCUUCUCUGUUCUGAGGGAGGAGAGUGAAAGUGUGCUGACACUCAAGGGUUUGACUCCCACUGGAAUGUUACCUAGUGGAGUGUUGGCCGGAGGACGACAGACUCUGCAAAGUGAUGCAGUUUAACUGGAAAUAGUGAUGAACAAUCUGAACACAGAAGACCAAGUGACUGACAAAGAUCUCUAGUGGAAUGUCUCCAGCCAGGUGUGGCUAUUUUUCUUUUAAUUGGAGCUCUCUUGGCGCUCCUGCCGCAACUGGCCCCGCAUGCGGCAUUGGAACCGGCUAAGGCUCGCUGUGAAGGCAAGCCUGCCGGAAAGGCCUCGCAUAAGUCAAGAGAGCGCCGCCAAUCUCCAGAAUCAAGGCAGAGCCCUAGAUCGCCACGUCCUUGGUCUCCACAUUGGCCCAGGUCUCUGGCUCACCAAUAUGCACCGCGCUUCCGGUCUCCGCCUUCGCGCUGGAGCUUGCCCUUCACGGUCAUGACAGGAAAAAGACGAUCGCUCCACAGUCAGCAACGGUCGUCGUCGCACCGUCAGUCACUGUUGCCGAGACCUCAGGGAUGCUCCCCAACACGGUGCCACUCUCCAUGCUCCCAGCACUGGUUGGACCGUUCCUGGCACCGGUCACCUGCGGAGAUGGUUAGCUGCCAGACCCAGGCUUUGAUGGCCCCGCCCUGGUCACCGGAGGACGAGGACUUCUGCGGCUUGGAGAAGUAGUUCAACCCCUUGCCUAGACAGCAGUUCAAUUGGGCUCCGCAGAGUGCAUGUGCUGCGGCGAUGCCGACCUGGCAGCAAGGCUAGUGGCCGAUACAAUGGCCUUAUUGGAACACUUGGGGCAUACCUAUUAUGCAGGUGGCCCUAUCCCACCAGCCUUCUCUCGCUGUGUUGGACAAACCCAGGACAAAACCAGAGGCACCAGGAUCGGUGCAAUCACAAGCCUGCAAGGGUGCUGAGCACUGUUGGCCUCCACUGAAUUCAGAAGGAGUUGAAUGUUUUAUGUGUUGUACAGGAGCAGCUUAUUCAUCAGCAACAGCUGGCUGUAACUGACCCACCUUAAACUAGGGGUAUGUCUACAAAGAAACCUAGGUCAACAUACUGCGGUGGUGUGCAUCCUCACCAGGAACACUUUCACCCACCUAAGAGAGGCAGUGUGGGGAGCUGAGAGCCUGGUCGCUCUGCCAGGAGUGAGGGGGAAGCUGGCCUGGGCUUCUCAUGCCUGCUCCCCAAGCCAUGAAAUUGUCAAGGCUGCCCAGCUCCUGGCAAGCAGGAGGCCCCUCAGGCUUCUCGCCCCCUGGACUUCUUGCCCCAGCUCCAGGGGGGCGGAGGGGUGAAGCUUUCUUGUCAAUUACAUGGCAGGAAACAUGAAAUUGACAAGACAGCGGAUGUAAGGAACACAGUGUCUACACAAAUACUGCCUUGUCCCCAACUACACUGCCAUAAGCCUUACGUCUCUCGUGGUGGUGUAGUAGGGCACUUAUAUCGGUGGGAGGAUGGCUGUAGUGUAGACCAACUCUAGGUUUCCCAAAAAGUCUCACAUGCGAACCCUUUUCCACAAGUUGGUGUCUGCACACUUUUAAGGGGAACUGUCAAGUUAAAUCACUUAACAUUUUUCCAUGUUACUAAGACCUUCAGAUUUUCUUCCUACCAUUUAUGCUAAUGAUUCUACUUUGAGCAUUCCAUGGGUCUGGCCAUGCAAAAGGAAGUAUAGUUCGCCUUUUAGUACACAGCUUUGAGUUUAAACAUUCCCUUGCAGUGUUUUACAUUUGUUUAAGGCUACCCAAUAAUGGCUUUUUAAAAUAGCCUGUCCAGUCAUUUACCACAUAAAUAUUCAUUCAUCUGAGUAAAUUAGAUUUGGGAAGAUCUCAUC